UCCUACGGGAGGCAGCAGUAGGGAAUCUUCCGCAAUGGACGAAAGUCUGACGGAGCAACGCCGCGUGAGUGAUGAAGGCUUUCGGGUCGUAAAACUCUGUUGUUAGGGAAGAACAAGUGCUAGUUGAAUAAGCUGGCACCUUGACGGUACCUAACCAGAAAGCCACGGCUAACUACGUGCCAGCAGCCGCGGUAAUACGUAGGUGGCAAGCGUUAUCCGGAAUUAUUGGGCGUAAAGCGCGCGCAGGUGGUUUCUUAAGUCUGAUGUGAAAGCCCACGGCUCAACCGUGGAGGGUCAUUGGAAACUGGGAGACUUGAGUGCGGAAGAGGAAAGUGGAAUUCCAUGUGUAGCGGUGAAAUGCGUAGAGAUAUGGAGGAACACCAGUGGCGAAGGCGACUUUCAGGUCUGUAACUGACACUGAGGCGCGAAAGCGUGGGGAGCAAACAGGAUUAGAUACCCUGGUAGUCCACGCCGUAAACGAUGAGUGCUAAGUGUUAGAGGGUUUCCGCCCUUUAGUGCUGAAGUUAACGCAUUAAGCACUCCGCCUGGGGAGUACGGCCGCAAGGCUGAAACUCAAAUGAAUUGACGGA
rnacentral:rRNA from 1 species